rnacentral:rRNA from 1 species
UACGGAGGGGACUAGCGUUGUUCGGAAUUACUGGGCGUAAAGCGCACGUAGGCGGCUUUGUAAGUCAGGGGUGAAAUCCCGGGGCUCAACCCCGGAACUGCCUUUGAUACUGCAAAUCUCGAGUCCGGAAGAGGUGAGUGGAAUUCCUAGUGUAGAGGUGAAAUUCGUAGAUAUUAGGAAGAACACCAGUGGCGAAGGCGGCUCACUGGUCCGGUACUGACGCUGAGGUGCGAAAGCGUGGGGAGCAAACAGG